UGAGGAAUAUUGGGCAAUGCCCGAAAGGGUGACCCAGCAACGCCGCGUGGAGGAUGAAGGUCGUAAGAUUGUAAACUCCUGUUAGAGGGGAAGAAUAACUAAGUUUGGAGCUUAGUAUGACUGUACCCUCAGAGAAAGCCCCGGCUAACUACGUGCCAGCAGCCGCGGUAAUACGUAGGAGGCAAGCGUUGUCCGGAUUUACUGGGUGUAAAGGGCGCGCAGGCGGAAUGGAAAGUCAGUGGUGAAAUCCUACAGCUUAACUGUAGAACUGCCUUUGNUACUUUCAUUCUUGAGUUCGGGAGAGAGAGACGGAAUUCCAGGUGUAGUGGUGAAAUACGUAGAUAUCUGGAAGAACACCAGUUGCGAAGGCGGUCUCUUGGUCCGACACUGACGCUGAGGCGCGAAAGCGUGGGGAGCAAACA
rnacentral:rRNA from 1 species